UGGGGGAAACCCUGAUCCAGCAAUGCCGCGUGAGUGAAGAAGGCCUUAGGGUUGUAAAGCUCUUUCGCCCGCGAAGAUAAUGACGGUAGCGGGAGAAGAAGCCCCGGCUAACUCCGUGCCAGCAGCCGCGGUAAUACGGAGGGGGCUAGCGUUGUUCGGAAUUACUGGGCGUAAAGCGUACGUAGGCGGAUGCGCAAGUUGGGGGUGAAAGCCCGGGGCUUAACCUCGGAAUUGCCCUCAAAACUGCACGUCUUGAGACCGAGAGAGGUAAGGGGAAUUCCUAGUGUAGAGGUGAAAUUCGUAGAUAUUAGGAAGAACACCGGUGCCGAAGGCGACUUACUGGCUCGGUACUGACGCUGAGGUACGAAAGCGUAGGGAGCAAACA
rnacentral:rRNA from 1 species